UGGGGAAUAUUGCACAAUGGGCGCAAGCCUGAUGCAGCAACGCCGCGUGAACGAUGAAGGUCUUCGGAUCGUAAAGUUCUGUUGCAGGGGAAGAUAAAGACGGUACCCUGUGAGGAAGCCCCGGCUAACUACGUGCCAGCAGCCGCGGUAAUACGUAGGGGGCUAGCGUUAUCCGGAUUUACUGGGCGUAAAGGGUGCGUAGGUGGUCUUUCAAGUCGGUGGUUAAAGGCUACGGCUCAACCGUAGUUAGCCUCCGAAACUGGAAGACUUGAGUGCAGGAGAGGAAAGUGGAAUUCCCAGUGUAGCGGUGAAAUGCGUAGAUAUUGGGAGGAACACCAGUAGCGAAGGCGGCUUUCUGGACUGCAACUGACACUGAGGCACGAAAGCGUGGGUAGCAAACAGG
rnacentral:rRNA from 1 species